rnacentral:sRNA from 1 species
AGCUGAUGCACAUGGCGGUCUUCUUCCUCCCAGUACCGCCGCAGCAGCUGUUCCCCUCUGGAGGUUUUGAACCUUCACACCUAAAAGGGCCUGGUUCUCCAGUGGCCCUUUUUU